rnacentral:rRNA from 1 species
AGGAUGAACGCUGGCGGCGUGCCUAAUACAUGCAAGUCGAGCGGUAAGGCCCCUUCGGGGGUACACGAGCGGCGGACGGCUGAGUAACACGUAGGAACGUACCCCAAACUGAGGGAUAAGCACCAGAAAUGGUGUCUAAUACCGCAUGUGGUCUUCGGAUUAAAGCUUCGGCGGUUUGGGAACGGCCUGCGCAUGAUUAGCUUGUUGGUGAGGUAAAAGCUUACCAAGGCGACGAUCAUUAGCUGGUCUGAGAGGAUGAUCAGCCAGACUGGGACUGAGAACGGCCCAGACUCCUACGGGAGGCAGCAGUGGGGAAUUUUGCGCAAUGGGGGAAACCCUGACGCAGCAACGCCGCGUGGAGGAUGAAAUCCCUUGGGAUGUAAACUCCUUUCGAUCGGGAAGAUAAUGACGGUACCGAGAGAAGAAGCCCCGGCUAACUUCGUGCCAGCAGCC